UACGAAGGGGGCUAGCGUUGCUCGGAAUCACUGGGCGUAAAGCGCACGUAGGCGGAUUGUUAAGUCAGGGGUGAAAUCCUGGAGCUCAACUCCAGAACUGCCUUUGAUACUGGCGAUCUCGAGUCCGGGAGAGGUGAGUGGAACUGCGAGUGUAGAGGUGAAAUUCGUAGAUAUUCGCAAGAACACCAGUGGCGAAGGCGGCUCACUGGCCCGGUACUGACGCUGAGGUGCAAAAGCGUGGGGAGCAAACAGG
rnacentral:rRNA from 1 species